UACGUAGAGUGCGAGCAUUAUCCGGAUUUACUGGGCGUAAAGCGUCCGUCGGUGACUUGAUAAGUUCUUUGUCCAAGCCUAGAGCUCAACUUUAGAAAGGCAGAGAAAACUAUCAAGAUUGAGUAUGUUCGGGGAACCUGGAAUUCUCGGUGGAGGGGUGAAAUCCGUAGAUAUCGGGAGGAAUACCAGUGGCGAAAGCGCCUUGCUGGGCCAUUAUUGACGCUGAGGAACGAAAGCCAGGGUAGCGAGAGGG
rnacentral:rRNA from 1 species